CAUGCAAGUCGAACGGUAACGCGGGGCAACCUGGCGACGAGUGGCGAACGGGUGAGUAAUAUAUCGGAACGUGCCCAAUAGUGGGGGAUAGCCCGGCGAAAGCCGGAUUAAUACCGCAUGAGACCUGAGGGUGAAAGCGGGGGAUUCGCAAGAACCUCGCGCUAUUGGAGCGGCCGAUAUCAGAUUAGGUAGUUGGUGGGGUAAAAGCCUACCAAGCCGACGAUCUGUAGCUGGUCUGAGAGGACGACCAGCCACACUGGGACUGAGACACGGCCCAGACUCCUACGGGAGGCAGCAGUGGGGAAUUUUGGACAAUGGGCGCAAGCCUGAUCCAGCCAUGCCGCGUGCGGGAAGAAGGCCUUCGGGUUGUAAACCGCUUUUGUCAGGGAAGAAAUCCUUUGAGCUAAUACCUCGGGGGGAUGACGGUACCUGAAGAAUAAGCACCGGCUAACUACGUGCCAGCAGCCGCGGUAAUACGUAGGGUGCGAGCGUUAAUCGGAAUUACUGGGCGUAAAGCGUGCGCAGGCGGUCUUGCAAGACAGGUGUGAAAUCCCCGGGCUUAACCUGGGAACUGCACUUGUGACUGCAAGGCUGGAGUACGGUAGAGGGGGAUGGAAUUCCGCGUGUAGCAGUGAAAUGCGUAGAUAUGCGGAGGAACACCGAUGGCGAAGGCAAUCCCCUGGACCUGUACUGACGCUCA
rnacentral:rRNA from 1 species